ACGAACGCUGGCGGCCUGCCUCACCCAUGCAAGUCGCACGCGACCUUCGGGUCUAGUGGCGCACGGGUGCGUAACGCGUGGGAACCUGCCCUUAGGUUCGGAAUAACUCCCCGAAAGGGGUGCUAAUACCGGAUAAUGUCUUCGGACCAAAGAUUUAUCGCCUUUGGAUGGGCCCGCGUUGGAUUAGCUAGUUGGUAGGGUAAAAGCCUACCAAGGCGACGAUCCAUAGCUGGUCUGAGAGGAUGAUCAGCCACACUGGGACUGAGACACGGCCCAGACUCCUACGGGAGGCAGCAGUGGGGAAUAUUGGACAAUGGGCGAAAGCCUGAUCCAGCAAUGCCGCGUGAGUGAUGAAGGCCUUAGGGUUGUAAAGCUCUUUUACCCGGGAUGAUAAUGACAGUACCGGGAGAAUAAGCUCCGGCUAACUCCGUG
rnacentral:rRNA from 1 species